rnacentral:rRNA from 1 species
GGGUUGUGAGGUUAAGCGACUAAGCGUACACGGUGGAUGCCCUGGCAGUCAGAGGCGAUGAAGGACGUGCUAAUCUGCGAAAAGCGUCGGUAAGGUGAUAUGAACCGUUACAGCCGGCGAUGUCCGAAUGGGGAAACCCAGUGCAAUUCGUUGCACUAUCGUUAACUGAAUACAUAGGUUAACGAGGCGAACCGGGGGAACUGAAACAUCUAAGUACCCCGAGGAAAAGAAAUCAACCGAGAUUCCCCCAGUAGCGGCGAGCGAACGGGGAGCAGCCCAGAGUCUGAAUCAGCUUGUGUGUUAGUGGAACGGUCUGGAAAGUCCGACGGUACAGGGUGAUAGUCCCGUACACCAAAAUGCACAGGUUGUGAACUCGAAGAGUAGGGCGGGACACGUGGUAUCCUGUCUGAAUAUGGGGGGACCAUCCUCCAAGGCUAAAUACUCCUGACUGACCGAUAGUGAACCAGUACCGUGAGGGAAAGGCGAAAAGAACCCCGGCGAGGGGAGUGAAAAAGAACCUGAAACCGUGUACGUACAAGCAGUGGGAGCACCUUCGGGUGUGACUGCGUACCUUUUGUAUAAUGGGUCAGCGACUUAUAUUCUGUAGCAAGGUUAACCGUAUAGGGGAGCCGCAGGGAAACCGAGUCUUAACUGGGCGUUAAGUUGCAGGGUAUAGACCCGAAACCCGGUGAUCUAGCCAUGGGCAGGUUGAAGGUUGGGUAACACUAACUGGAGGACCGAACCGACUAAUGUUGAAAAAUUAGCGGAUGACUUGUGGCUGGGGGUGAAAGGCCAAUCAAACCGGGAGAUAGCUGGUUCUCCCCGAAAGCUAUUUAGGUAGCGCCUCGUGAACUCAUCUUCGGGGGUAGAGCACUGUUUCGGCUAGGGGGUCAUCCCGACUUACCAACCCGAUGCAAACUACGAAUACCGAAGAAUGUUAUCACGGGAGACACACGGCGGGUGCUAACGUCCGUCGUGAAGAGGGAAACAACCCAGACCGCCAGCUAAGGUCCCAAAGUCAUGGUUAAGUGGGAAACGAUGUGGGAAGGCACAGACAGCCAGGAUGUUGGCUUAGAAGCAGCCAUCAUUUAAAGAAAGCGUAAUAGCUCACUGGUCGAGUCGGCCUGCGCGGAAGAUGUAACGGGCUAAACCAUGCACCGAAGCUGCGGCAGCGACACUAUGUGUUGUUGGGUAGGGGAGCGUUCUGUAAGCCUGCGAAGGUGUGCUGUGAGGCAUGCUGGAGGUAUCAGAAGUGCGAAUGCUGACAUAAGUAACGAUAAAGCGGGUGAAAAGCCCGCUCGCCGGAAGACCAAGGGUUCCUGUCCAACGUUAAUCGGGGCAGGGUGAGUCGACCCCUAAGGCGAGGCCGAAAGGCGUAGUCGAUGGGAAACAGGUUAAUAUUCCUGUACUUGGUGUUACUGCGAAGGGGGGACGGAGAAGGCUAUGUUAGCCGGGCGACGGUUGUCCCGGUUUAAGCAUGUAGGCUGGUUAUCCAGGCAAAUCCGGAUAAUCAAGGCUGAGGUGUGAUGACGAGGCACUACGGUGCUGAAGUAACAAAUGCCCUGCUUCCAGGAAAAGCCUCUAAGCAUCAGGUAACAUCAAAUCGUACCCCAAACCGACACAGGUGGUCAGGUAGAGAAUACCAAGGCGCUUGAGAGAACUCGGGUGAAGGAACUAGGCAAAAUGGUGCCGUAACUUCGGGAGAAGGCACGCUGGUGUGUAGGUGAAGUCCCUGCGGAUGGAGCUGAGACCAGUCGAAGAUACCAGCUGGCUGCAACUGUUUAUUAAAAACACAGCACUGUGCAAACACGAAAGUGGACGUAUACGGUGUGACGCCUGCCCGGUGCCGGAAGGUUAAUUGAUGGGGUUAUCCGUAAGGAGAAGCUCUUGAUCGAAGCCCCGGUAAACGGCGGCCGUAACUAUAACGGUCCUAAGGUAGCGAAAUUCCUUGUCGGGUAAGUUCCGACCUGCACGAAUGGCGUAAUGAUGGCCAGGCUGUCUCCACCCGAGACUCAGUGAAAUUGAACUCGCUGUGAAGAUGCAGUGUACCCGCGGCAAGACGGAAAGACCCCGUGAACCUUUACUAUAGCUUGACACUGAACAUUGAGCCUUGAUGUGUAGGAUAGGUGGGAGGCUUUGAAGCGUGGACGCCAGUCUGCGUGGAGCCAACCUUGAAAUACCACCCUUUAAUGUUUGAUGUUCUAACGUUGGCCCCUGACCGGGGUUGCGGACAGUGUCUGGUGGGUAGUUUGACUGGGGCGGUCUCCUCCCAAAGCGUAACGGAGGAGCACGAAGGUUAGCUAAUCCUGGUCGGACAUCAGGAGGUUAGUGCAAUGGCAUAAGCUAGCUUGACUGCGAGCGUGACGGCGCGAGCAGGUGCGAAAGCAGGUCAUAGUGAUCCGGUGGUUCUGAAUGGAAGGGCCAUCGCUCAACGGAUAAAAGGUACUCCGGGGAUAACAGGCUGAUACCGCCCAAGAGUUCAUAUCGACGGCGGUGUUUGGCACCUCGAUGUCGGCUCAUCACAUCCUGGGGCUGAAGUAGGUCCCAAGGGUAUGGCUGUUCGCCAUUUAAAGUGGUACGCGAGCUGGGUUUAGAACGUCGUGAGACAGUUCGGUCCCUAUCUGCCGUGGGCGCUGGAGAAUUGAGGGGGGCUGCUCCUAGUACGAGAGGACCGGAGUGGACGCAUCACUGGUGUUCGGGUUGUCAUGCCAAUGGCACUGCCCGGUAGCUAAAUGCGGAAGAGAUAAGUGCUGAAAGCAUCUAAGCACGAAACUUGCCCCGAGAUGAGUUCUCCCUGAGACUAUAAGUCUCCUGAAGGAACGUUAAAGACGAUGACGUUGAUAGGCCGGGUGUGUAAGCGCAGCGAUGCGUUGAGCUAACCGGUACUAAUGAACCGUGAGGCUUAACCUUACAACGCCGAAG